rfam:Stegodyphus mimosarum contig109779, whole genome shotgun sequence.
GCCUUCGUGGUGUAGUGGUCAGCACGCUCGACGCGUAACCGAGAGGUCCGUGGUUCGAUUCCUGGUGAAGGCG